GGCUUCCCAGUGCUUACCACAAGCUGUUUGCUUAUAAUAACUGUACAGAAAGAGGAGGCAAAAGGCAUCAAUCUCUUCCAUAUACACCUCAGCCAAGGCCUUUUGCCUGGUUUGUAUUGUGAAUAGGGAGACAAGG
ensembl:snoRNA